CCCUUAUCAAGAGAGGUGGAGGGACGGGCCCGAUGAAACCCGGCAACCGGUGGCAAAAGCUACUAUGGUGCCAAUUCCUGCAGAAUGUUAUAUUCUGGUAGAUGAGGA
rnacentral:ncRNA from 2 species